rnacentral:rRNA from 1 species
UGGGGAAUAUUGCACAAUGGGGGAAACCCUGAUGCAGCGACGCCGCGUGAACGAAGAAGGUAUUCGUAUCGUAAAGUUCUGUCCUAUGGGAAGAUAAUGACAGUACCAUAGAAGAAAGCUCCGGCUAAAUACGUGCCAGCAGCCGCGGUAAUACGUAUGGAGCGAGCGUUGUCCGGAAUUAUUGGGUGUAAAGGGUACGCAGGCGGUUUAAUAAGUCGAAUGUUAAAGAUCGGGGCUCAACCCCGUAAAGCAUUGGAAACUGAUAAACUUGAGUAGUGGAGAGGAAAGUGGAAUUCCUAGUGUAGUGGUGAAAUACGUAGAUAUUAGGAGGAAUACCAGUAGCGAAGGCGACUUUCUGGACACAAACUGACGCUGAGGUACGAAAGCGUGGGGAGCAAACAGG